AUUGAACGCUGGCGGCAUGCUUUACACAUGCAAGUCGAACGGCAGCACGGGGGCAACCCUGGUGGCGAGUGGCGAACGGGUGAGUAAUACAUCGGAACGUGCCCGGUCGUGGGGGAUAACGUAGCGAAAGUUACGCUAAUACCGCAUACGAUCUGAGGAUGAAAGCGGGGGACCUUCGGGCCUCGCGCGAUCGGAGCGGCCGAUGUCAGAUUAGGUAGUUGGUGGGGUAAAGGCCUACCAAGCCGACGAUCUGUAGCUGGUCUGAGAGGACGACCAGCCACACUGGGACUGAGACACGGCCCAGACUCCUACGGGAGGCAGCAGUGGGGAAUUUUGGACAAUGGGCGCAAGCCUGAUCCAGCCAUUCCGCGUGCAGGACGAAGGCCUUCGGGUUGUAAACUGCUUUUGUAUGGAACGAAAAGGCUCUGGCUAAUACCUGGGGCUCAUGACGGUACCGUAAGAAUAAGCACCGGCUAACUACGUG
rnacentral:rRNA from 1 species